AGCCCUUGGAAGCUGCCGGGAAGACCGAGAGGACUCAGUGUCCGCCAGCACGCCUGGCCCCUGCCUGGGCCUGAAGGAUCCCCAAAUCCCGCCCCCCCCCCCACCCCCUGCCUGACUUGGGUGCCCUCCAGUGAUGACUCAGGUGGCUGUCUUCCCACGUGAGCGGCUCUCACAGUGCCUGGCAGGUUCUUUUUCAGUGUUGAGCCCCAACCUGCCUUCCCAAGACCUAGACCUCCAGGUCUAGGUUCUGCCCCUGGAGUGACCCAGAGCAAGCCCAGCCCGUCUUCUGCCGUCUACUUGAAGAAGGAUGCCAGACUCCGCUCAUCCAGGUUUCCAUAAUUCCUUGCGAAAGAUGCUCUCCACACCCUUUUCCGUCCCGUCUGGCUCACUGUGGUAUGUCCGCACGGUCACCAAAAGGCUGCCACCGGGACAGACAGAGGCGGCCCCACCCCCAGCAACAGUGCCAUACUGCCUUCCAGUUGCUACGGGCUUUCCUGCCUGCAGACAGCUCCCGUGAAAAGAAUCAGUGGGUACGUGCAUACGUGCGCUUUCCUAGGCCGGCAGAACAUACGCUUGGAUCGUUUUCAUGUGAUCUGUUUCCAAGCCAGGUCUCCCCUGUGUCCUGAACUCGUAUAAAUCACUUUGUAAGUCCA